GCAAAUACCGUUUCUAAUGGAUUUCGCUAAAACACAUCGUUGGCAGUAUUUCUUGCAAUUACGAUUUGUAUUUUCGUGCUUUAAAUAUCUUCAAAAUAUCUCUAUUUGCAAAUGAGAUAUUAAGAUGCACAGUGGGUCAAGGUAAAAUUUUUACUUAAUUAUAAAUUUCACAUGGAUAGAUAUUUCACUUCAUUUUCAGGACGUUUCUCGCGGUCAAUUGGUUAAGCCGACGUGUUAAUUAAUAAUGCUGGUCGCAGAUACAUUAAUUAAGCGAUUAACUUAAAUGAUAUUUACUUGUUUGUUGCCUGAAACUUUAAUGAGUGCAUGCCUUUUAAUAAAA